ACGGCUCAGUAACACGUGGACAACCUACCCUGAAGUCGGGGAUAACCCCGGGAAACUGGGGAUAAUACCCCAUAGGCUAUGGAUGCUGGAAUGCUCUGUAGUUGAAAGGUCCGCCGCUUCAGGAUGGGUCUGCGGCCGAUUAGGUUGUUGUUGGGGUAACGGCCCAACAAGCCUGUAAUCGGUACGGGUUGUGGGAGCAAGAGCCCGGAGAUGGAUUCUGAGACACGAAUCCAGGCCCUACGGGGCGCAGCAGGCGCGAAAACUUUGCAAUGCGAGCAAUCGUGACAAGGGAACUCCGAGUGCCUGUAAAAUCAGGCUGUCCGCCAGUGUAAAUAACUGGCGAAGAAAGGGCCGGGCAAGACCGGUGCCAGCCGCCGCGGUAAUACCGGCGGCUCGAGUGGUGGCCACUAUUACUGGGCUUAAAGCGUUCGUAGCUGGCUUGUUAAGUCUCUGGGGAAAUCUUCCGGCUUAACCGGAAGGCGUCUCAGGGAUACUGGCAGGCUAGGGACCGGAAGAGGUGAGAGGUACUCCAGGGGUAGGAGUGAAAUCCUGUAAUCCUUGGGGGACCACCUGUGGCGAAGGCGUCUCACCAGAACGGCUCCGACAGUGAGGAACGAAAGCUGGGGGAGCAAACCGGAUUAGAUACCCGGGUAGUCCCAGCUGUAAACGAUGCGCGUUAGGUGUAUCGGUGACCACGAGUCACCGAGGUGCCGAAGAGAAAUCGUGAAACGUGCCGCCUGGGAAGUACGGUCGCAAGGCUGAAACUUAAAGGAAUUGGCGGGGGAGCAC
rnacentral:rRNA from 1 species